GGGUGCGAUCAUACCAGCACUAAUGCACCGGAUCCCAUCAGAACUCCGCAGUUAAGCGUGCUUGGGCGAGAGUAGUACUAGGAUGGGUGACCUCCUGGGAAGUCCUCGUGUUGCACUCCCCU
rnacentral:rRNA from 1 species